rnacentral:rRNA from 1 species
UAUCACUUGAAAGAGUGGGCAUCAAGUCAGCAACAACCCCAAAAUGCCAAAGAGCUAUAUAACUUGCGACACUCUCGUGCUAGAAAUGUAGUAGAGAGAACUUUUGGGUUGUGGAAGAAGAAGUGGGGUAUUCUUCGCACUCAAAGUUUCUUUGACAUAAAGGACCAGGUAACAUGUGUCCAUUGGGUUUUCAAUAAGAUGCAUAACAUAGUGAAAAAUUCUUACGUAAGAGAACAUUGUUGCAGAUUCGAAUCAUUAAUGCUUGUUGUGUGUUACACAACUUUGCAAGGGAUAGGCAACAUAUGA